CCUACGGGUGGCAGCAGUGAGGAAUAUUGGUCAAUGGGCGCGAGCCUGAACCAGCCAAGCAGCGUGAAGGAGGACGGCACUACGUGUUGUAAACUUCUUUUGUAAAGGAAUAAAGGCAGGCACGUGUGCCCGUAUGUCUGUACCUUAUGAAUAAGGAUCGGCUAACUCCGUGCCAGCAGCCGCGGUAAUACGGAGGAUCCGAGCGUUAUCCGGAUUUAUUGGGUUUAAAGGGUGCGUAGACGGGUUGUUAAGUCAGGUGUGAAAGUUUGGGGCUCAACCGCAAGAUUGCAAUUGAAACUGGCAGUCUUGAGUACAGUAGAGGUAGGCGGAAUUCGUGGUGUAGCGGUGAAAUGCUUAGAUAUCACGAAGAACUCCGAUUGCGAAGGCAGCUUGCUAGACUGCCACUGACGUUGAGGCUCGAAAGCGUGGGUAUCAAACAGGAUUAGAUACCCGAGUAGUC
rnacentral:rRNA from 1 species